rnacentral:rRNA from 1 species
AGUGAACGCUGGCGGUGGGCCUAACACAUGCAAGUCGAACGGCAGCACAGUAAGAGCUUGCUCUUACGGGUGGCGAGUGGCGGACGGGUGAGGAAUACAUCGGAAUCUACUUUUUCGUGGGGGAUAACGUAGGGAAACUUACGCUAAUACCGCAUACGACCUACGGGUGAAAGCAGGGGAUCUUCGGACCUUGCGCGAUUGAAUGAGCCGAUGUCGGAUUAGCUAGUUGGCGGGGUAAAGGCCCACCAAGGCGACGAUCCGUAGCUGGUCUGAGGGGAUGAUCAGCCACACUGGAACUGAGACACGGUCCAGACUCCUACGGGAGGCAGCAGUGGGGAAUAUUGGACAAUGGGCGGAAGCCUGAUCCAGCCAUACCGCGUGGGUGAAGAAGGCCUUCGGGUUGUAAAGCCCUUUUGUUGGGAAAGAAAAGCAGCAGGUUAAUACCCCGCUGUUCUGACGGUACCCAAAGAAUAAGCACCGGCUAACUUCGUG